AAGGAAGCCUCUCACUCUCACACUCACACAACACACGCCACUCCUCUCUCUCUCUCUCUCUCUCGUCUGUCCCUCUCUCUUUCAUUUGUCACCGCCGCGCCUCCCUCCGUCACCGGCGAUCCUUCCUCCGUCACCGACGAUCCUCCCUCCGUCACCACCGCGCCUCCCAUCUCUGUUUAGGUUAAAAAUGUCAGAUGUUAACUCUGAAGCACCAGUUAACUCUGAAGCACCCGUUAACUCUCAAGUACCAUUUGAGAGUGACGCGUCACAACAUUCAUCGCCAGCUACGAACACACCUACGAACUCACCGUCUCCCCUCUCUAAUCAACAUGUUAUUGAUUUAGAAGAAUCUAAUACUACUUGUGGAGGAACUAAAAGAAAACCUAGUAUUGUGUGGGAACAUUUUAAAAAACAACAAGUCAAUGGGGUGUGGAAGGCAAUAUGUAAUUAUUGUAAUAAGCAUCUUGGAGGUGAUUCAAAAAAUGGAACUAGGCAUUUGCAUGAUCACCAUAAGAGUUGUACUAGGAAAAAAGUGAUGGACAUGAGGCAAAAAGUGUUAACUAACAACUUUAGUAGAGAGAUUUC